rnacentral:rRNA from 1 species
UGGGGAAUAUUGGACAAUGGGCGCAAGCCUGAUCCAGCAAUGCCGCGUGAGUGAUGAAGGCCUUAGGGUCGUAAAGCUCUUUCGCACGCGACGAUGAUGACGGUAGCGUGAGAAGAAGCCCCGGCUAACUUCGUGCCAGCAGCCGCGGUAAUACGAAGGGGGCUAGCGUUGUUCGGAAUUACUGGGCGUAAAGGGCGCGUAGGCGGCCUGUUUAGUCAGAAGUGAAAGCCCCGGGCUCAACCUGGGAAUAGCUUUUGAUACUGGCAGGCUUGAGUUCCGGAGAGGAUGGUGGAAUUCCCAGUGUAGAGGUGAAAUUCGUAGAUAUUGGGAAGAACACCGGUGGCGAAGGCGGCCAUCUGGACGGACACUGACGCUGAGGCGCGAAAGCGUGGGGAGCAAACAGAUUAGAUACCCUGGUAGUCCACGCCGUAAACGAUGAAUGCUAGACGUCGGGGUGCAUGCACUUCGGUGUCGCCGCUAACGCAUUAAGCAUUCCGCCUGGGGAGUACGGCCGCAAGGUUAAAACUCAAAUGAAUUGACGGGGUCAUAGCUG